UACGAAGGGGGCUAGCGUUGUUCGGAUUUACUGGGCGUAAAGCGCACGUAGGCGGAUUGUUAAGUGAGAGGUGAAAUCCCAGAGCUCAACUCUGGAACUGCCUUUCAUACUGGCAAUCUAGAGUCCGGAAGAGGUAAGUGGAACUCCUAGUGUAGAGGUGGAAUUCGUAGAUAUUAGGAAGAACACCAGUGGCGAAGGCGGCUUACUGGUCCGGUACUGACGCUGAGGUGCGAAAGCGUGGGGAGCAAAC
rnacentral:rRNA from 1 species